rnacentral:rRNA from 1 species
CGAAGCGAAGCAGCGAUGUGAAGCAAAUCGCACCAAAGCCGGUCCCAGUUCGGAUAAGAGGCUGAAACUCGCCUCUUUGAAGUCGGAAUCGCUAGUAAUCGCAGAUCAGCAUGUUGCGGUGAAUACGUUUCCUGGUCUUGUACACACCGCCCGUCAAACCAUGAGAGUCGCCAACACCCGAAGUCCGCUUUGCGGCCUAAGGUGGGGAGAUGAUUGGGGUUAAGUCGUAACAAGGUAAC